CCUGAGUGAACAUCCUGAGGUGGCUGAAUCAGCUGUGGGGAGCAGCCCGGACCCGACUUGAAGGGAGGUGCCAUGAAGUGCAGCUCAAAUGCACAGCAGCCAGAAACACAGCCACUUCUCUGGACGCCUCUCAAGCUUCUAGUCCCUUUCCCUCACCCUUACUGCAAUGAGUUCUGCAGUGCCAUCCUGGUGGAAAGCAGCUUUAGACAGCAACAGAAAAG